AUGUUCAAGACAGGUAGCAGACAUAACUUCUUUGUUAUAUAAUUCUGUGAUAGUUGAUGGUAUAUUACAUCUCUUCCUUGUUAUAAUUCUGUGAUAGUUGAUAAAACUUGCAGACAUAACUUCCUUGUUAUAUAAUUCUGUGAUAUAUUAGUUAAAUUUUGGGAGAUUCACCAUGUGGAGGCAGUGGUUCAACUCAGAUCCUUUUGCAAACGAUGUUAUAUUUGAUAACAUAACGUCGAAUGCUCUAGAAUUCAGAUCUUUAGUUAGUUUUAAACUUGUAAACGUUAUGUUUUAUCAAACUUGCAGAAGUUAUAUCUUUAGUUAGAUUCACCAUGUGGAGGCAGUGGUUCAACUCAUAUUCUUUUGCAAACUAAUAUAUCUAACCAGAAGGUUCAUUGUUCAACACUUCAUGUUCAUUGUUCUAUGAUAAAAUAACAACCCGUCGUCCUCUUCGUUAAUCAAGCCAUCCAUCCAUGUUCAGUGUACUCAUGGAUCAAACUAAGAUAAAUAGCAGAACAGAGCACAGGUGAAGUAGAGCUAUCUAAAGGCACAGGUUCAUUGCCAUGCCCAUCCCUGGGUUGAGUAUGAUCCAUCUCUGGCACUUGCAGAUGGUUCAGAUGAUGCCUAGCCAAGAAACAGUCCUGCCUGGUUGCCCUUAACCUGGAAACACAAUUUCAAUGAACAUCAGUAGUGUAGCAUUAGAUAGCAAUGUUACGUCUCCUUGAAACAAUGUGUGUGCAGAUCAAAAACAUAUGUUUUCUGAUUAUGGGUGAUCUACUUGACAGUUACACUGACUGCUGUUUGUUUUGUUUUGUUCCGCAGCCUGCAGCUAUGAGAUCGUUGCACUGGCAACAAGCACCCAAUGAAGAAAAGCGCAGUCGGUGUUAGCCCCUUAGAUCUGCCAGAAAGUGGUUCAUCUCAUAAACUGGCAUUUUACCAGCACUCGUUUUGAGCCUCCUGCUGAUCUUAUGUCAUGUAAAAUAAAGCAAACUAGGUUGACCUUAUUUGGGAGUCGCUUUCUAUUUUCAAUGCCUACUUGUUGCACAAAUGGAA
rnacentral:lncRNA from 1 species